rnacentral:rRNA from 1 species
CAUUACUGAAAGACAUAGAGGUCUUGAGACUGCGUCUUCACCGGCGCGUGCUCGACUCUUACUCUUUAAUCCACACACACCUUUGUGCACCAUGGGACGGAAGUCCCCAUUUUACAUAAACACCUAGUUAUAUGCAUGUUUUUAUAUACUCUAUGGAGUAAUGUACAACUUUCAACAACGGAUCUCUUGGCUUUCGCAUCGAUGAAGAACGCAGCGAACGUGCGAAACGUAAUGUGAAUUGCAGAAUUCAGUGAAUCAUCGAAUCUUUGAACGCAUCUUGCGCUCCUUGGUAUUCCGAGGAGCAUGCCUGUUUGAGUGUCGUGUAGUACUCUUCAUUUCCAUCUUUUUUUUUGGUUUGAAAUUGGAUUUGGGUGUUGUUGUGGAUCACAACUCGUCCUAAAUGCAUUAGCGAUCUGCCAUUGAUCACAUGCAAUGUGAUAAGAAAAAGCAUUGUUGAGAUUGAUUUGAGAUUGCUUCUAACUGUCGAAAGACAAUUAACUAUGUGUCAUUUGACCUCAGAUCAGGUAGGACUACCCGCUGAACUUAAGCAUAUCAAUA